rnacentral:ncRNA from 1 species
GUUUAAAAGAGGAAAGGCUUGCGGUGGAUACCUAGGCACCCAGAGACGAGGAAGGGCGUAGCAAGCGACGAAAUGCUUCGGGGAGUUGAAAAUAAGCAUAGAUCCGGAGAUUCCCAAAUAGGUCAACCUUUUAAACUGCCUGCUGAAUCCAUGA